rnacentral:rRNA from 1 species
UACGAAGGGGGCUAGCGUUGCUCGGAAUCACUGGGCGUAAAGCGCACGUAGGCGGAUUGCUAAGUCAGGGGUGAAAUCCUGGAGCUCAACUCCAGAACUGCCUUUGAUACUGGCGACCUUGAGUCCGGGAGAGGUGAGUGGAACUGCGAGUGUAGAGGUGAAAUUCGUAGAUAUUCGCAAGAACACCAGUGGCGAAGGCGGCUCACUGGCCCGAUACUGACGCUGAGGCGCGAAAGCGUGGGGAGCAAACAGG